AUUGAACGCUGGCGGCAGGCCUAACACAUGCAAGUCGAACGAGUGGCGGACGGGUGAGUAAUGUCUGGGAAACUGCCUGAUGGAGGGGGAUAACUACUGGAAACGGUAGCUAAUAAAAAAUACCAUCGGAUGUGCCCAUAGGGGGUUAGCUCGUGGGUGGGGUAACGGCUAGCCAAGGCGACGCUCCCUAGCUGGUCUGAGAGGAUGACCAGCCAAACUGGAACUGAGACACGGUCCAGACUCCUACGGGAGGCAGCAGUGGGGAAUAUUGCACAAUGGGCGCAAGCCUGAUACAGCCAUGCCGCGUGUAUGAAGAAGGCCUUCGGGUUGUAAAGUACUUUCAGCGGGGAGGCGUUACCCGCAGAAGAAGCACCGGCUAACUCCGUGCCAGCCGCCGCGGUAAUUC
rnacentral:rRNA from 1 species